UCCCUGUAGUUAGCUAACAAUUUCCAGCCAGGUAAUAAUGCAUUAGCUAUUCUCCCUGCAUUAUGAGCUUUAACCUUUGUCUCUACUAUGCUAACUAUACUAAAUUUAUUUUGUUUAAAAUACUCCUUAGCCUCCUUUUGUUUGUAUCUCUUAUUUACACCUCUAAUAUUCCAUACUAACAACUUCAUUUAGUAAAACUAGGUCCCCCUUUAUCAGGAUGGUUUCUAGGUUUACCCUCUGACAUACUUUGG
rnacentral:lncRNA from 1 species